rnacentral:snRNA from 1 species
GUGCUCGCUUCAGCAGCACAUAUACUAACAAAGUGGAACGAUACAGAGAAGAAGAGCGUGGCCCCUGUGCAAGGAUGACCCGCAAAUUCGU